AGCACUUGUGUUUGUUUUGCUUACCUGUGGACAAAAGCCUUAUAGACAAUUGCAAAAAAUACAUUCUCUUGCAAGCCAGAAUUCAUUGUUCAGGGUGCGUUUUGAUACAUAUGAUAGAAAAUU
rnacentral:snoRNA from 1 species